rnacentral:rRNA from 1 species
AGUUUGAUCCUGGCUCAGGAUGAACGCUAGCUACAGGCUUAACACAUGCAAGUCGAGGGGCAGCAUGGUCUUAGCUUGCUAAGACUGAUGGCGACCGGCGCACGGGUGAGUAACACGUAUCCAACCUGCCGUCUACUCUUGGACAGCCUUCUGAAAGGAAGAUUAAUACAAGAUGGCAUCAUGAGUCCGCAUGUUCACAUGAUUAAAGGUAUUCCGGUAGACGAUGGGGAUGCGUUCCAUUAGAUAGUAGGCGGGGUAACGGCCCACCUAGUCUUCGAUGGAUAGGGGUUCUGAGAGGAAGGUCCCCCACAUUGGAACUGAGACACGGUCCAAACUCCUACGGGAGGCAGCAGUGAGGAAUAUUGGUCAAUGGGCGAGAGCCUGAACCAGCCAAGUAGCGUGAAGGAUGACUGCCCUAUGGGUUGUAAACUUCUUUUAUAAAGGAAUAAAGUCGGGUAUGCAUACCCGUUUGCAUGUACUUUAUGAAUAAGGAUCGGCUAACUCCGUGCCAGCAGCCGCGGUAAUACGGAGGAUCCGAGCGUUAUCCGGAUUUAUUGGGUUUAAAGGGAGCGUAGAUGGAUGUUUAAGUCAGUUGUGAAAGUUUGCGGCUCAACCGUAAAAUUGCAGUUGAUACUGGAUAUCUUGAGUGCAGUUGAGGCAGGCGGAAUUCGUGGUGUAGCGGUGAAAUGCUUAGAUAUCACGAAGAACUCCGAUUGCGAAGGCAGCCUGCUAAGCUGCAACUGACAUUGAGGCUCGAAAGUGUGGGUAUCAAACAGGAUUAGAUACCCUGGUAGUCCACACGGUAAACGAUGAAUACUCGCUGUUUGCGAUAUACUGCAAGCGGCCAAGCGAAAGCGUUAAGUAUUCCACCUGGGGAGUACGCCGGCAACGGUGAAACUCAAAGGAAUUGACGGGGGCCCGCACAAGCGGAGGAACAUGUGGUUUAAUUCGAUGAUACGCGAGGAACCUUACCCGGGCUUAAAUUGCAGAUGAAUUACGGUGAAAGCCGUAAGCCGCAAGGCAUCUGUGAAGGUGCUGCAUGGUUGUCGUCAGCCCGUGCCGUGAGGUGUCGGCUUAAGUGCCAUAACGAGCGCAACCCUUGUUGUCAGUUACUAACAGGUUCCGCUGAGGACUCUGACAA